CGGUGAGCGUAGUGUGCUGGUGGGCUUACAGUCCUUUGCCGAAGGGCUUGAUUUGAAAGGUGAUCUGCUCAGCCAGGUGCAUAUCCAC
rnacentral:tRNA from 1 species